rnacentral:rRNA from 1 species
GACGAACGCUGGCGGCGUGCUUAACACAUGCAAGUCGAACGGAAAGGCCCUGCUUUUGUUGGGUGCUCGAGUGGCGAACGGGUGAGUAACACGUGAGUAACCUGCCCUUGACUUUGGGAUAACUUCAGGAAACUGGGGCUAAUACCGGAUAGGAGCUCCUGCGGCAUGGUGGGGGUUGGAAAGUUUCGGCGGUUGGGGAUGGACUCGCGGCUUAUCAGCUUGUUGGGGGGGUAGUGGCUUACCAAGGCUUUGACGGGUAGCCGGCCUGAGAGGGUGACCGGCCACAUUGGGACUGAGAUACGGCCCAGACUCCUACGGGAGGCAGCAGUGGGGAAUAUUGCACAAUGGGCGGAAGCCUGGUGCAGCAACGCCGCGUGCGGGAUGACGGCCUUCGGGUUGUAAACCGCUUUCGCCUGUGACGAAGCGUGGGUGACGGUAAUGGGUAAAGAAGCACCGGCUAACUACGUG